rnacentral:rRNA from 1 species
AUGGCGACCGAGCUCAGGACCUCGACAAGAGUGGUACGUUUGGGGGCCAUGGAGGAGAAGCUGCUGCCCAUCAGAUCUGAGGAAGGAGGAUGCCCACCACCACCAGGCCGCUCAACCUCACCACCAUUUGUUGGCAAGACCACCAUGUGGUGUGUGGUGGUGGAUUAUUCUUCCACUCCAACGACUCCCGCUGGUGGCCUCGAUUCUGCUUCCUCCCCGGCAUUAGGCGAGCAGCAGGCGCCCUCCAUGGAAGACAUCGACGAGGCAUAUGCGGGGCCACACGCCCAAGCUGUCGAGCUUGAUGAGGAACAUCAUUGGGUCUUACUUCAACCUCGAGGUGAUGCCUAUGCUGACUCCCCACACAAGGUAAGCAACAUGAUAUGA